CCUACGGGAGGCUGCAGUCGAGAAUCAUUCACAAUGGGGGAAACCCUGAUGGUGCGACGCCGCGUGGGGGAAUGAAGGUCUUCGGAUUGUAAACCCCUGUCAUGUGGGAGCAAAUUAAAAAGAUAGUACCACAAGAGGAAGAGACUGCUAACUCUGUGCCAGCAGCCGCGGUAAUACAGAGGUCUCAAGCGUUGUUCGGAAUCACUGGGCGUAAGGGGUGCGUAGGCUGUUUCGUAAGUCGUGUGUGAAAGGCGCGGGCUCAACCCGCGGACGGCACAUGAUACUGCGAGACUAGAGUAAUGGAGGGGGAAGCGGAAUUCUCGGUGUAGCAGUGAAAUGCGUAGAGAUCGAGAGGAACACUCGUGGCGAAGGCGGGUUCCUGGACAUUAACUGACGCUGAGGCACGAAGGCGAGGGGAGCGAAAGGGAUUAGAUACCCUGGUAGUC
rnacentral:rRNA from 1 species